rnacentral:lncRNA from 1 species
UACAUGUUGUCUUGUGCUGAGAUUAUAGCCAGGCGACAAGAUGCAGAAUAUUCUCAUGUUUUUGCAGAAACGAUAAUACAAAUCAAAAUUUGACGUACUUUCUUGCACACUGAACAAAACUAUGAAGUGGGAGGGCAUAAUUUUUACCUUUCUUUUAAUUUAUAGCAGCUCUUUUGGGUGCAUCUUCUUCCUCACGCCCCUCAUUCCAUUUGUUUACUUUCAACCACGUUUGGGAAGAUGGUUGAUGGAUCAGAUGAUAUGGUUAUGGCAGCUGUAUGCUGUG